rnacentral:lncRNA from 1 species
ACUCCGCUCUUCUCUGAGCUAGCAGGGAUUUCCUUUCUUCCCAUUCAGGCACAUUCUCUGGACACUGCUGUUCUUCAGUUGGUACUUUGUGCUGCUUUUGGGGAUGCUUUUCAUCUCCAUCUAUCUGCCUCUCCUCUCUUCUUGAGCUUAGCUUUCUUUUUUCUCUCUUGAACUUUUUGUUCAUCAUCACGUUUUUUUCUUUCAACCCUCUUCUUUUUUUCCCUCCCCCUUUUUUUUUUUUUUUUUGUCUUUCCUUUUUUUUUUCAACUGUGCUCCUGUUCUUGCAGCUUUAGUCUUUCCAGGCUUCUCU